rnacentral:lncRNA from 1 species
CGCUAUUGAGAGAUAUGGUGGAGAAGAUUCUUGCUGGUUGCUUGCAGCUGCACAUGCAUUCGAUCUUCAUAAAAAAUCUACUCGAAGCCCCGAUCUGAUCAAUCUUCUUGGCAGUGCUAGCUCAUGUGAAGACCUUCUUCUUGGUUGAUCUGGAUCCUUUCUUUAAAUCUCUAAAAUCUUUCUAGAGGUUGAAGAUAGACUU